GACGAACGCUGGCGGCGUGCUUAACACAUGCAAGUCGAACGGAAAGGCCCUGCUUUUGUGGGGUGCUCGAGUGGCGAACGGGUGAGUAACACGUGAGUAACCUGCCCUUGACCUUGGGAUAACUUCAGGAAACUGGGGCUAAUACCGGAUAGGAGCUCCUGCUGCAUGGUGGGGGUUGGAAAGUUUCGGCGGUUGGGGAUGGACUCGCGGCUUAUCAGCUUGUUGGUGGGGUAGUGGCCUACCAAGGCUUUGACGGGUAGCCGGCCUGAGAGGGUGACCGGCCACAUUGGGACUGAGAUACGGCCCAGACUCCUACGGGAGGCAGCAGUGGGGAAUAUUGCACAAUGGGCGGAAGCCUGAUGCAGCAACGCCGCGUGCGGGAUGACGGCCUUCGGGUUGUAAACCGCUUUCGCCUGUGAUGAAGCGUGAGUGACGGUAAUGGGUAAAGAAGCACCGGCUAACUACGUG
rnacentral:rRNA from 1 species